rnacentral:rRNA from 1 species
AGCGAACGCUGGCGGCAGGCUUAACACAUGCAAGUCGAGCGGGCCUUUCGGGGUCAGCGGCGGACGGGUGAGUAACGCGUGGGAACGUGCCCUCUGGUUCGGAAUAACUCAGGGAAACUUGAGCUAAUACCGGAUACGCCCUUUUGGGGAAAGGCUUGCUGCCGGAGGAUCGGCCCGCGUCUGAUUAGCUAGUUGGUGAGGUAACGGCUCACCAAGGCGACGAUCAGUAGCUGGUCUGAGAGGAUGAUCAGCCACACUGGGACUGAGACACGGCCCAGACUCCUACGGGAGGCAGCAGUGGGGAAUAUUGGACAAUGGGCGCAAGCCUGAUCCAGCCAUGCCGCGUGAGUGAUGAAGGCCUUAGGGUUGUAAAGCUCUUUUAUCCGGGACGAUAAUGACGGUACCGGAGGAAUAAGCCCGGGCUAACUUCGUG